GACGAACGCUGGCGGCGUGCUUAACACAUGCAAGUCGAACGAAGAGCGAUGGAAGCUUGCUUCUAUCAAUCUUAGUGGCGAACGGGUGAGUAACGCGUAAUCAACCUGCCCUUCAGAGGGGGACAACAGUUGGAAACGACUGCUAAUACCGCAUACGAUCUAAUCUCGGCAUCGAGGAUAGAUGAAAGGUGGCCUCUACAUGUAAGCUAUCACUGAAGGAGGGGAUUGCGUCUGAUUAGCUAGUUGGAGGGGUAACGGCCCACCAAGGCGAUGAUCAGUAGCCGGUCUGAGAGGAUGAACGGCCACAUUGGGACUGAGACACGGCCCAGACUCCUACGGGAGGCAGCAGUGGGGAAUCUUCCGCAAUGGACGAAAGUCUGACGGAGCAACGCCGCGUGAGUGAUGACGGCCUUCGGGUUGUAAAGCUCUGUUAAUCGGGACGAAAGGCCUUCUUGCGAAUAGAGAAGGAUUGACG
rnacentral:rRNA from 1 species